rnacentral:sRNA from 1 species
GGAAAUCCAGGAAGGACAAGCACGACCUGCUUCAGGGCCACCAGAAUGGCAGUGGCAGCCAGGCCCCUUCCGGGGGGCACCUCUAUGGCUUUGGGGCCAAGAGCAAUGGAGGUGGCGCGAGCCCCUUCCACUGCGGGGGCACUGGGAGUGGCAGCGUCGCCGCUGCAGGGGAAGUUAGCAAAAGUGCCCCGGAUUCAGGGCUCAUGGGAAACUCUAUGUUGGUAAAGAAGGAAGAGGAGGAGGAGGAGAGCCACAGGCGAAUCAAGAAACUGAAAACUGAGAAGGUUGACCCCCUGUUUACAGUGCCAGCGCCACCACCGCCGAUUUCCAGCAGUCUCACGCCUCAGAUUCUACCCUCCUACUUUUCCCCAUCUUCAUCCAAUAUUGCAGCACCGGUUGAACAGCUUUUGGUUCGGACUCGUUCUGUGGGUGUCAAUACAUGUGAAGUUGGAGUAGUGACAGAGCCAGAGUGUCUUGGGCCCUGUGAACCUGGGACCAGUGUGAAUUUGGAAGGGAUCGUGUGGCAUGAAACAGAAGAAGGUGUCCUAGUGGUCAAUGUCACGUGGAGGAACAAAACGUACGUGGGAACCCUACUGGACUGCACCAAGCACGACUGGGCCCCUCCCAGGGGCCUAUCUCUCUCCAGGAUUUCAUUAUCCUGUUUAUGGGAAGAUGUCAGGGAGAGAAGAGACAGAGAAAGUCAAUACCAGCCCUAGCGUCAACACGAAAACAACCACUGAAUCUAAAGCACUGGAUUUGCUCCAGCAGCAUGCUAACCAAUACCGCAGCAAGUCUCCUGCU